rnacentral:rRNA from 1 species
UACGUAGGGUGCGAGCGUUAAUCGGAAUUACUGGGCGUAAAGCGUGCGCAGGCGGUUCGUUGUGUCGGUGGUGAAAGCCCCCGGGCUUAACCUGGGAAUGGCCAUGGAAACUGGCGAACUGGAGUGUGGCAGAGGGGGGGUGGAAUUCCGCGUGUAGCAGUGAAAAUGCGUAGAGAUGCGGAGGAACACCGAUGGCGAAGGCAGCCCCCCUGGGCUGACACUGACGCUCAGGCACGAAAGCGUGGGGAGCAAACAGG